AGCGGCGGACGGGUGAGUAACGCGUGGGCAACCUGCCUCAUACAGGGGGAUAACAGUUAGAAAUGACUGCUAAUACCGCAUAAGACCGCGGUGCCGCAUGGCACAGCGGUAAAAACUCCGGUGGUAUGAGAUGGGCCCGCGUCUGAUUAGCUAGUUGGCGGGGUAACGGCCCACCAAGGCGACGAUCAGUAGCCGACCUGAGAGGGCGACCGGCCUCAUUGGGACUGAGACACGGCCCAAACUUAUACGGGAGGCAGCAGUGGGGAAUAUUGGACAAUGGGGGAAACCCUGAUCCAGCGACGCCGCGUGAGUGAAGAAGUAUUUCGGUAUGUAAAGCUCUAUCAGCAGGGAAGAAAAUGACGGUACCUGACUAAGAAGCCCCGGCUAACUACGUGCCAGCAGCCGCGGUAAUACGUAGGGGGCAAGCGUUAUCCGGAUUUACUGGGUGUAAAGGGAGCGUAGACGGCGUAGCAAGUCUGAUGUGAAAGAUCGGGGCUCAACCCCGGGCCUGCAUUGGAAACUGUUAAGCUGGAGUACAGGAGAGGUAAGCGGAAUUCCUAGUGUAGCGGUGAAAUGCGUAGAUAUUAGGAGGAACACCAGUGGCGAAGGCGGCUUACUGGACUGUAACUGACGUUGAGGCUCGAAAGCGUGGGGAGCAAACAGGAUUAGAUACCCUGGUAGUCCACGCCGUACACGAUGAUUACUAGGUGUCGGUGGGCAUGGGCCCAUCGGUGC
rnacentral:rRNA from 1 species